AACAUCCAGCUUGGGACAUUGCAGUCACCUACUAAGCUCUGUAUCAUCACUUUCCAAGAGGACCUCUCCCCCAUAUUAUGCUUUCUCAGGGGACAUCAUUUAAAAUUGCCAUGUUUAUUUUUAAGUGCUUGGGAGGUAUUGGACAAACCUUUCAUGCAGCCCUAGAGUCAUUCUCUGAGAUUUCCCAGUUUGGUCACUGGCAGAGUUCUGAUCCAGUCAAAGACAGGAUUCUUGCCUCAUUUACUGGUCAAAGUCUCAGCCAAAGCAGAUGGCACAUUUGAAACAGGGGGCAUAGUUCACCAUAGGAACUGUCUGGCGAAGGUGUGGGUGGGUACAGGGCAGACACAGGCAUAGGAAUCUGCAAGCAAUAGCAGCCCAGCCCUGAGCCAGAAGAAGCAAGAGAGAGAGAAUGAUUUCCAGAAUGUGGAGGGGAAAGAGUCAGGCAGAAUUCCUCUGCAGGAAGCAGCAACUGGCUGAAGAGAGGGGUCAAGAGUCCUACGAUGUAUUUCAUCAUCAUUGCUUCACCCUGUGUGGACAGAGACAGCAUGCAGAGUGUCCUUGGGAUAUACCGGUCUACCCAGACACCAAAAGGGAUGUACAGAUCCACAGUGGCAGCAGGCACGUGAGAAUCAGGCUGACUGCCCAGGCCUCCGUUUAUACCCUGAAUGAGCUCGGUGCUCCUUGUGACCUUGGUGAUGUUUGUAGCUUUCCAGCUUCAGUUUUGACAACUGCAAAAUGAGAUCAACAAUCCCAACUACUUAACGGGGUUCUUUAGAAUAUGUAUGUGCGAGAUUUUCCUUGGUCUUAACACAUAGUAACCACUUGAUAAAUUGAAAUUAAAAAGGCUUAGGAUGUGUUUCCAGCACAUACCGAGUACCGUUCCCAUGCUGGGCGUUGGGACUAUAUUGGUGGAAGUUAGUUACGCAUCAUCCUGACUCCAGAGAUAUUAGAGCUCACAAACUACUCCCAUAGGGAAUUGUUCCACCUGUUUCUGGUACUCAGGGUCCCAUCAGCCCCAUAUUAUUCAUCUCCUGAGAACACAAGCUCUGUGAACAAGCUCCUUUACUAUAAUUCUUGCAUGAAUUCCUCUUGCCAUCCUGAUGUUGGAAAGUAAUGUUCUUUAAAAUCUUCCUUUUGUGUUUAUUCCCUGAGGACUGAAGGCCUGGCCAGCAUUGUGCAGGCUAUGAAAAAUCGAUACAUUCUGUUCUGAGUGUCCCCAGAGGGAGUUAUGCCCUGCUCCAUCAAUUUACUGGACCACAUUAAAGCCCUAAAUCAAAAUACUGACAAGUCUUUUCCAUUGUUGGGGAUUUUACCAGGCUAAAGAGCUGCUUUAUAAGUUUUCCACCAUAAUAAAAUUCUGCUGCCUGCAAAAGCGUCUGCUUUCAGAUGACUGAAACUAUUUUAUUUGGAUACAUCUAGUAUAGGAUGCCCCUGAGAAUAACUGAUUUAUGGCUUAAUGACUUUGCACACACAGUAUGUUCUAAGACCAAUUAUCUGCAGAAAACCGCCAACUGUGGUCGAUUCCAGAGGACAGCUGUGCUGAGGAUUCUUGUGCUUGUACUUGUAGCCAGGAGUAGGGUGAUUAUUGAGUACUUCAAUAUCACCUAAGAGACACUUGAGCCUUUGGCACUUGAUUGAAGAAUGUCUCCAGUGUUCACCUUUCCCUGCGAGUAACUUAAAUUUAAAGAUGAUACUUGCCUUCUAUGCAAAGUCAAAAUGGUUAAAGGAUGAAAUUAAUGGAAUAGCAUAUUGGAGUGGGAAGAAAUUGAAACCAGGAAACCUAGCUUCCAUCCCCUAGCGCUUCUGC